rnacentral:rRNA from 1 species
AUUAGGAAUAAAGAUUUAUCGCUGAGGGAUGGGGAUGCGUCUGAUUAGCUUGUUGGCGGGGUAACGGCCCACCAAGGCAACGAUCAGUAGGGGUUCUGAGAGGAAGGUCCCCCACAUUGGUACUGAGACACGGACCAAACUCCUACGGGAGGCAGCAGUGAGGAAUAUUGGUCAAUGGGCGGAAGCCUGAACCAGCCAAGUAGCGUGCAGGAUGACUGCCCUAUGGGUUGUAAACUGCUUUUAUACGGGGAUAAAGUCAGAGUCGUGACUCUGUUUGCAGGUACCGUAUGAAUAAGGACCGGCUAAUUCCGUGCCAGCAGCCGCGGUAAUACGGAAGGUCCAGGCGUUAUCCGGAUUUAUUGGGUUUAAAGGGAGCGUAGGCCGGAGAUUAAGUGUGUUGUGAAAUUUAGGCGCUCAACGUCUGCACUGCAGCGCAUACUGGUUUCCUUGAGUACACGCAACGUUGGCGGAAUUCGUCGUGUAGCGGUGAAAUGCUUAGAUAUGACGAAGAACUCCGAUUGCGAAGGCAGCUGACGGGAGUGCAACUGACGCUGAAGCUCGAAAGUGCGGGUAUCGAACA